AUGACGUCGAAGAAGGAUUGGCCGGUGCUGCUGGCUGGCAUCAAGUUCGAUCCCACGGAUCAGGAGCUGAUCAAGCACCUUGAGGCCAAAGUGAGUGCUGACAGCGCGAGAUCUCACCCUCUCAUCGAUUUGUUCAUACCAACCAUCGACAGCGAGCACGGCAUAUGCUACACCCAUCCUGAGAAACUUCCAGGUAUCACACUGAGUGGCCUAAGCAAGCAUUUCUUCCAGCGCAAUUCCAGGGCAUUCAAAAGGGGCACGUGGACGUGUCGCAAGAUACAGUCGGAGUGUGGCAUGCACGCGAUGUGGCACAACACCGGCAAUACCUUGCCGGUGAUGGUCAACGGCCGGCAGACGGGCAGCAAAAAGGUUCUGGUGCUGCACACCAAGAAGAACUUCGACCAGCAGAGGACCAACUGGGUGAUGCACCAGUACCACCUCGGGGACCUGGAACAAGAGAAGGAGUGGGGGCUGGUCCUCUGCAAGAUUUUCUACUAG
rnacentral:rRNA from 1 species